CAGUCGCCGCGGGAAUACGUAGGGUGCAAGCGUUAAUCGGAAUUACUGGGCGUAAAGCGUGCGCAGGCGGUUUGUUAAGACAGAUGUGAAAUCCCCGGGCUCAACCUGGGAACUGCAUUUGUGACUGGCAAGCUAGAGUAUGGCAGAGGGGGGUGGAAUUCCGCGUGUAGCAGUGAAAUGCGUAGAGAUGUGGAGGAAUACCGAUGGCGAAGGCAGCCCCCUGGGCCAAUACUGACGCUCAUGCACGAAAGCUAGGGGAGCAAACAGGAUUAGAUACCCGGGUAGUCCCUGUCUCUUAUAC
rnacentral:rRNA from 1 species